CUAAGCUGCCGCAGAGGUUUGUGUUUCCAGAGGUCCCUCAGAAGCUGAUCCUGAUUCAGCCCUUAAAGACUCCUGAAGGCUAAGGGGAUGGUGAGGGUACUGAAAGUGGAGGAGUCCAAACUUGCUGAACUGUGAGGGUUUUGACCUGACUGCAGUUCGGCGUCGUAACCGACUUCAGUGGGCAAAUACUCACCUUCGAUGGGCACUGGCCUGCUGGAGAAGUGUGCUCUUCACGGAUGAAUCCCGGCUUCAACUGUACCAGGCAGAUGACAGAUGGUGUGUGUCAACGUUGUGAACAGAGUGCCCCAUGGUGGCGGUGGGGUUAUGGUAAAGGCAGCAUGAUAAUGCACAUGUUGCAAGGAUCUGUACUCAAUUCCUGGAAGCUGAAAAUGUCCCAGUUCUUCUGUGGCCUACUCACCAGAC
rnacentral:lncRNA from 1 species